UACGUAGGGGCCUAGCGUUGUCCGGAUUUAUUGGGCGUAAAGAGCUCGUAGGCGGUUCGGCAAGUCGGAUGUGAAAUCUCCACGCUCAACGUGGAGGGGCCAUUCGAAACUGCUGUGACUUGAGUCCGGUAGGGGGGUGUGGAAUUCCCGGUGUAGCGGUGAAAUGCGCAGAUAUCGGGAGGAACACCAGUGGCGAAGGCGGCAUCCUGGACCGGUAUUGACGCUGAGGCGCGAAAGCCAGGGGAGCAAACGGG
rnacentral:rRNA from 1 species